CCUAAGCCAAUCAACGCAAGACAUGCUCCUGGAGCCUGUGAUUGGCUCAGGAGUAAGCACGUGACCCAAGAUGGCCCCCGCUAGGCGGAAGGGAAGGGCCUGCCCUGGGUGGCUGGUGGGGACCCCUGUCAGUCCUUGACUCGGUGACUCUCCGGUUCCUCCCUUGGCUCUGCCACACAAGAAUGAGGACGCCUGGAGUCCUGAUGGUCACAGCCAUCCUACUGGAAUAGGGCUGCCAGAGUACAUACAGGAAGCCCGUUAAAUUUGAAUUUCAGUCCCCUCCAGGUCAGAACGAUGAGACGCAGGGACGACGGGACAGCCAUAUCUGCAGCCAGCGAGCCCCGGGCUGCGACACACCUGAAGGUUGCAGGGGCAGGGGAGGAGCAAGGAGAUGGUGAAGGCAUUUGUGCAACGGACACCACCAGGUGCAGCGGCCGGGACCUGUGUCAGGGUCCUGCUCUGCCGAGGGCUCAUCCCGGCUCCCUCCACCAUCCAGAGGGACAAAGUCACCCAAAGCCACAGCCAGGCAGGAUCUGAGUUGUGGGGUUCCAAGAGCCCCGAGAGGAGGACACACUGCAGGUUCUCAGCCUCCUGCACCUGCCUGGGGCUCGUCCUGGCUGUCCUUGCCUAACAGGUGACUCCCUGCCUUCCCAGCUACCCCGCCCAAGCGCUAAGCACCCAUUUCGUGGUACAUGACCCCCACAGGAACAUCUGGGGGGGCUCCUGCCUUGGGCACUGGCCGGGGACGUCCAGCCUGGGGGAGCCUCACACUCACAGUGGCCACAGAUUCCCCCAAUCCCUGAUGUUCUCUAACUGCAAAAGAAAAUCCCACCCCUGCCCGCGUGCAGCCCGCUUCCCUCCCACACCUGCCUCAGGGCUGCGUCACGAGGCAGCUAAGGUGGAGAGGCCCUGAGCUGGGAGCCAGAGGCCGGGACUGGAAUCCCCUGGCCUCCCCCAAACCCGGCAACCACGCGAGAGCCACUCAGCCCCAUUUCACGGGGAUCGACAGACACUUUCCAUGGCGCUGUGAUGCUCAAAGGAGAACCUGCACAAAAGGGUGUCUGUGGUGUCUGAAGACCACAUAGAGUUUGGGGUUACUGUUACUCUUGAAGGGGUCAACUACAGAAAAAAAAGUUUCGAAAGAAUUAA